GCCGGGGGGUCCAAGCGUUGUUCGGAAUCAUUGGGCGUAAAGGGAGCGUAGGCGGCCAUGUAAGUCAGGAGUGAAAGCCCUGGGCUCAACCCAGGAAGUGCUCUUGAUACUGCUUGGCUUGAAUGUGGGAGAGGAUAGUGGAAUUCCAGGUGUAGUGGUGAAAUACGUAGAUAUCUGGAGGAACACCGGUGGCGAAGGCGGCUAUCUGGCCCAACAUUGACGCUGAGGCUCGAAAGCGUGGGGAUCAAACAGG
rnacentral:rRNA from 1 species